rnacentral:rRNA from 1 species
UGGACGGUGGGCAGCGAGCGCGGGUGAAAGCGGAGGGGGCAAAGGUGGGUCGGAAUCAUUGGGGGUAAGGAGCAGGUAGGCGGCUGGCCAAGUCGGACGGGAAAGCCCUCAGCGCAACUGAGGACGGGCAUCGGAAACUGGCGAGCGUGAGUGCUGAAGAGGAUCGCGGAAUUCCCGGGGUAGAGGUGAAAUUCGUAGAUAUCGGGAGGAACACCAGUGGCGAAGGCGGCGAUCUGGGCAGACACUGACGCUGAGGUGCGAAAGCGUGGGGAGCAAACAGGAUUAGAUACCCCAGUAGUC